UGGGACUCGAAAGAAAAGGAAGAGGCAGCA
rnacentral:piRNA from 1 species